CUACGGGUGGCAGCAGUGAGGAAUAUUGCACAAUGGGGGAACCCUGAUGCAGCAACGCCGCGUGGAGGAUGACGCAUUUCGGUGUGUAAACUCCUUUUAUAUGUCAAGAAAAUGACGGUAGCAUAUGAAUAAGCACCGGCUAACUCCGUGCCAGCAGCCGCGGUAAUACGGAGGGUGCAAGCGUUACUCGGAAUCACUGGGCGUAAAGGACGCGUAGGCGGGUUAUCAAGUCAGGUGUGAAAUCCUACAGCUUAACUGUAGAACUGCACUUGAAACUGGUAACCUAGAGUAUGGGAGGGGCAGAUGGAAUUAGUGGUGUAGGGGUAAGAUCCGUAGAUAUCACUAGGAAUACCUAAAGCGAAGGCGAUCUGCUGGAACAUAACUGACGCUAAGGCGUGAAAGCGUGGGGAGCAAACAGGAUUAGAUACCCCAGUAGUC
rnacentral:rRNA from 1 species